UACGAAGGGUGCAAGCGUUGCUCGGAAUUAUUGGGCGUAAAGCGCACGUAGGCGGUUUGUUAUGUCGGAUGUGAAAGCCCUCGGCUUAACCGAGGAAGUGCAUCCGAAACUGGCAAGCUUGAGUACAGAAGAGGGUCUCGGAAUUCCCGGUGUAGAGGUGAAAUUCGUAGAUAUCGGGAGGAACACCAGUGGCGAAGGCGGAGACCUGGGCUGAUACUGACGCUGAGGUGCGAAAGCGUGGGGAGCAAACAGG
rnacentral:rRNA from 1 species